rnacentral:ncRNA from 1 species
CCAAACACGUCUCUUAUUGAUAUAGGAGAAUUCGUAUCCCAGGGCUCAACCCUGGACAGGCGGUGGAAACUACCAAGCUGAAGUACGGUAGGGGCAGAGGGAAUUUCCGGUGGAGCAGUGAAAUGUGUAGAGAUCAGAAAGAACACCAACAGUGAAAGCACUGAGAGACGAAAGCUAGGGGAGCGAAUGGGAUUAGAUACCCCGUAAUCCUAGCCAUAGAGGAUGGAUACUAGGCUUUGUGCCUUAAUAUAUAACCUUCAUCUUUAUCAAGAUAAAAUCUUG